rnacentral:lncRNA from 1 species
AUGUCUCUUUGUAUCAUGUUAACAGUCCUUGUGUUUCUACAGUCUUUCUGCAACUGUGGAAAUGCACUUUUUUGGUUUAUACUUUCUACGAACUUUCCAAACUAUAAGGCCCAAUCUUACAGUUUGAGCCUUGUGGAUGGACCCUUAUGCGAGUGCAGAGAUCCACUGAAAUCAAAGGGAGUCCACCCAUGCAGGCUGAUUUUCCUGUUGGCAAGAGGAGGAAGAGCCACACCAAGCAUCACCUUCAGGAACAAGCAAUAUAAGUACUAUAAUGAGAUGGGUCUUUUCAGAGUCUAUAAUUGGUGACAAGAUAUGGCAGCUUCCUAUCAGACAACGAUGUACAACACAGAGCUUAUUAAUGAGGAUGGAGCAUCAUAGUCAAAAAGCUUUCCAAUGACUACUAGAUAGGAGAAUAUUAUAUAUACUGUACAUUGUUACUAUGCCCAAUAUCUCCAAUUUGCAUCAUAAAACCUUUAUGUAGGCCAAUUCAAGAUAAUCCAGAAUGGGAUCUUGUUCCCCCUUAGAUGGAUUAUCAGUAGUGUGAACUGCAAUCCAUCAUUCCUGAUCCCAGCUCUCACUCACAGCAGCAACAAUCAUCUAAACUUGCAGAUCUGUUCAAUUUAAUUGGGUUAGUUUAGUAACCCUCCCUGUAUUAAAGUCAACCUGGAAAGAGAUGUAAUAUUUUCACAGUUAUGAAGACCUAGAAACUAGCCAUAGUAAGAUUUGAUUGUGGAUCAAGAAAUAGGAUUUUCAUCAUGUUAAGAACUCUUCAAGGAAAUAUAUAUGGAACAAAUAAUAACAUAAAAUUAUUAACAAUGAGACCUGCAAAGAUAUUGGCAAAGCAAUAAGCAAUCUGACUUUACUAGCUAUGUUGGAAUCUGUUACCUAAUUUGUUUUGUUUUAGUUUUGUUUUGAGGUUUUUUUGGUUUUGUUUUGUUUUUUAUAGUUGGGAAAAGGCACUUUUUCAGCAACAAGCAAGAAUACUUGAAUGAACAGACUUUUACAUAAGACAGAAAAGCCCUGUCUCUUAACACUUUUAAAUAAAAAAAUCAGAUUUUUAAGAUUGACUUUGAAG